UACGUAGGGGGCUAGCGUUGUCCGGAAUCAUUGGGCGUAAAGAGCGUGUAGGCGGCUUGGUAAGUCCGCUGUGAAAGUCCAGGGCUCAACCCUGGAAUGCCAGUGGAUACUGUCAAGCUAGAGUCCGGAAGAGGCGAGUGGAAUUCCUGGUGUAGCGGUGAAAUGCGCAGAUAUCAGGAAGAACACCCGUGGCUAAGGCGGCUCUCUAGUACGGUACUGACGCUGAGACGCGAAAGCGUGGGGAGCGAACAGG
rnacentral:rRNA from 1 species